rnacentral:SRP_RNA from 1 species
GAUGUGCAAUGAGGUGGCACUUGCCUGUAGUCCCAGCUACUCGGGAGGCUGAGGUGGGAGGAUUGCUUGAGCCUAGGAGUUCUGGGAUGUAGUGCGCUAUGCCGAUCAGGUGUCUGCACUAAGUUCGGCAUCAAUAUGGUGACCUCUCGGGAGCGGGGGACCACCAGGUUGCCUAAGGAGGGGUGAACCGGCCCACGUCGGAAACAGAGUAGGCCAAAACUCCCAUGCUGAUCAGUAGUGGGAUCGCGACUGUGAAUAGCCACUGCACUCAGCCUGGGCAACACAGUGAGACCUUGUCA